UAGGGAAUCUUCGGCAAUGGACGAAAGUCUGACCGAGCAACGCCGCGUGAGUGAAGAAGGUUUUCGGAUCGUAAAACUCUGUUGUUAGAGAAGAACAAGGACGUUAGUAACUGAACGUCCCCUGACGGUAUCUAACCAGAAAGCCACGGCUAACUACGUGCCAGCAGCCGCGGUAAUACGUAGGUGGCAAGCGUUGUCCGGAUUUAUUGGGCGUAAAGCGAGCGCAGGCGGUUUCUUAAGUCUGAUGUGAAAGCCCCCGACUCAACCGGGGAGGGUCAUUGGAAACUGGGAGACUUGAGUGCAGAAGAGGAGAGUGGAAUUCCAUGUGUAGCGGUGAAAUGCGUAGAUAUAUGGAGGAACACCAGUGGCGAAGGCGGCUCUCUGGUCUGUAACUGACGCUGAGGCGCGAAAGCGUGGGGAGCAAACAGG
rnacentral:rRNA from 1 species